rnacentral:rRNA from 1 species
GAUGAACGCUGGCGGCGUGCCUAAUACAUGCAAGUCGAGCGAACAGACCCGGCGCUUGCUCCUCUCACGUUAGCCGCGGACGGGUGAGUCACACGUGUAUCACCUACCUAUAAUACUGGUAUCACUUCGGGAAACCGGAUCUAAUACCGUAUGAUCUCCUGAACCGUGGUGUUCAAUAGUGAAAUACGGCUGUUCGGGAACGUCUCGCUGGAUCUGGGCUGCAUUGGCUAGUUGGUAGGUUAACGGCUUACCAAGGCAACGAUGCGUAGCCGACGUGAGAGAGGGGUCGGCGACACGGGAAGUGAGACGCGGACCAGAGGCCUACGGGAGGGAGCAGAAGGCAAUGUGCCGCAAUGGGCGAAAGCAUGACGGAGCGGCGCGGCGUGAGUGAUAGAGGUCUUCGGAGCGUAAAACUCUGUUAUGAGGGAUGAACAGAUGUGGAAGUAAAUAUGCACGGCUUGACGGUACCGAGUCAGAAAGCAACGGCUAACUACGUG